rnacentral:rRNA from 1 species
UACGUAGGGUGCAAGCGUUAAUCGGAAUACUGGGCGUAAAGCGUGCGCAGGCGGUGAUGUAAGACAGAUGUGAAAUCCCCGGGCUCAACCUGGGAACUGCAUUUGUGACUGCAUCGCUGGAGUGCGGCAGAGGGGGAUGGAAUUCCGCGUGUAGCAGUGAAAUGCGUAGAUAUGCGGAGGAACACCGAUGGCGAAGGCAAUCCCCUGGGCCUGCACUGACGCUCAUGCACGAAAGCGUGGGGAGCAAACAGG